GCUGAGACCUCCUUUCGCGGAAUAUUACUCAAUGACAGUGUGCGAAGAACGCGAGUUCCCCUUCUCGACGAAAAUCGUGGACUAACAGUUUGAAGUCAUUGAACUACUUCCAAGAGUUGUAUCGACAUCAACAGGAUUACGAUUUCAGUGCAAUAUGA